CUACUCUGCAGCAGCAACAACCACAUCUUUUCUGAGGAGAGACCCCGGAAUUCGAAGAAGGGGACAGCUAUGUGGUAAAAAACCACACCAUAUCUAGCAAAUAUGGAAAGCAAACUAUAUUUGUAAAAUCAGCAACCAGCAAAUGUAAAACCUCCCCACUGAGUCUCACUGAAGAUCAGGAGAGAAGGGCCAGAGAUCCUUGUUCCCCUCUGGUCUCAGAGGACAAAGUGAACCCUUCUGAAGAAGAGUAUGUCAGUCUCCUGGGAGAGAUUGAUGGAGGAAUUGCAGGAGGUGAGGAUGGCACAGGUGCAGUUUGGUAAAGUGCCCGUCCUGGACUUUAAGAUAAACUGCAAAUCAAGAGCAGUGGAGGUUUCUCUGUGGAGAGACGAGGCUCUUAUCCAGGUGUUGAAUGGAGACACAGUGGAGCUGACCCACCUCCGCCCAAACACCACAAACAGUUACACCACUGUUAAGGUACACUAUGUAAUGCAGAAUAUUAUUUCUUUAAAUCAGUCUCUCUCAAACUCCAGCCCCUCCCAUCACUACACACAUCUGCCACAUGUAAAACAUGCAUUUAAACAUGCCUGCUGUAAAAACACAGAUUUCAUGGAGGAGACGGUGGAGGUGGUUGAGUAUCUUCAGGAAUGGGUGCGAUCGUGCUUCUGGAGGUCGAUUAUGAGGAGUAUGUUGUCCCAGACACAAUGUAUUCAGGAGACGUUGAGGACCUUGUGGAACAGCUGCCAAUAAAAAUGAAAAUUAAACAUAUGAACAACCGGGUGCUAAGUAUCGAAGAAUAGAUCUUAAAUGAUAUAAGUUCAAAUUGAAUAGGUUAAGGGAAUAGUUGUUCCCCCAUUAUUAAAAGAUUAUUUGUUCAAUAUUUGUUAUUUUGUUGUUUAAUUUGUGGCCUUGUUAAUAUAGUUAAUU